rnacentral:rRNA from 1 species
ACUAGCAGUAAGAGUUUGAUCAUGGCUCAGAGCGAACGCUGGCGGCAGGCUUAACACAUGCAAGUCGAGCGCCCGUAGCAAUACGGGAGCGGCAGACGGGAGAGUAACACGUGGGAACGUGCCCUUCAGUUCGGAACAACCCAGGGAAACUUGGGCUAAUACCGGAUACGCCCUUCGGGGGAAAGAUUUAUCGCUGAUGGAGCGGCCCGCGUCUGAUUAGCUAGUUGGUGAGGUAAUGGCUCACCAAGGCGACGAUCAGUAGCUGGUCUGAGAGGAUGAUCAGCCUCACUGGGACUGAGACACGGCCCAGACUCCUACGGGAGGCAGCAGUGGGGAAUAUUGGACAAUGGGCGCAAGCCUGAUCCAGCCAUGCCGCGUGGGUGAUGAAGGCCUUAGGGUUGUAAAGCCCUUUCGGCGGGGAAGAUAAUGACGGUACCCGCAGAAGAAGCCCCGGCUAACUUCGUGCCAGCCGCCGCGGUAAUUC